rnacentral:lncRNA from 11 species
GGACAAUGUAAAUUUUAUGUUGACAUUACAGAACAAUCAAAGCAAGUACUGCAUAUGAGAAAACAACCUCUUGUCCCUGCAGGGAAAGCUGCUCAUGUUGUUUUCCCAAAGCAGCACUAUGCAUGGCAUAUAUAAAGAAGCAUGGCAACCAUGCCUUACGUAGCACAUUUGCGUCCCAUUCAUCUCUGAACCAACUCAAGACUUGAAUUAAAAUGGAAUUAUCUCAGAUUAUCCAAAGAAUAACCUAAUUAUUUGACCUAAACUCAACCAGUGAGCUUAAUUUAUUAGCAGGAAGUUGAAGUCCUAGCC